GGAAGGAUCAUUAUUGAAUAAACUUGAACAGGCUGUUGCUGGUCUUCCUUGUAUGAGGAGGUACAUGUGCACGCUUGUCAUCUUUACUUUUCCCCAACUGUGCACAUCUUGUAGACCUGGAUUUUUUGAUUGCAAUCACGCAUUAGAUUUGAGGACUGCUGUGCUUUAAAAAGUCGGCUUUGCCUUGCAUUUCCAGGUCUAUGUUAUUUUCACAAACCUCUGAAUGCGUUUUAGAAUGUUGAAUCAGGUCAUUUGUACCUAUAAAGUUAUAUAAUACAACUUUCAGCAACGGAUCUCUUGGCUCUCGCAUCGAUGAAGAACGCAGCGAAAUGCGAUAAGUAAUGUGAAUUGCAGAAUUCAGUGAAUCAUCGAAUCUUUGAACGCACCUUGCGCUCCUUGGUAUUCCGAGGAGCAUGCCUGUUUGAGUGUCAUUAAGUUCUCAACCACACUAUUUCUUAUGGUGUGGCUUGGAUAUGGGGGAUUUUGCAGGCCUUGGAAACGAAGUCAGCUCCUCUGAAAUGUAUUAGUGGUAUCUGAGCAGAAACCACCACAGGUGUGAUAACUAUCUAUGCCUUGGUGUACUGCAUGAAACGGAUUACACUGCUUCUAACAAGUGAAGCCCAAUUCUCAUUGGGCCACAUUUGACAAAUUUGACCUCAAAUCAGGUAGGACUACCCGCUGAACUUAAGCAUAUCAAUAAGCGGAGGAAAAGAAACUAACAAGGAUUCCCCUAGUAACUGCGAGUGAAGCGGGAAAAGCUCAAAUUUGAAAUCUGGCGGUUUUUGACUGUCCGAGUUGUAAUCUAGAGAAGUGUUACCUGUGCUGGACCGUGUACAAGUCUCCUGGAAUGGAGCAUCAUAGAGGGUGAGAAUCCCGUCUUUGACACGGACUACCUGUACAUUAUGGUGUGCUCUCAAAGAGUCGAGUUGUUUGGGAAUGCAGCUCAAAAUGGGUGGUAAAUGCCAUCUAAAGCUAAAUAUUGGCGAGAGACCGAUAGCGAACAAGUACCGUGA
rnacentral:rRNA from 1 species